UAGCCUUGACAUACUACAGAAUUUGACAGAGAUGUUGAAGUGCCUUCGGGAGCUGUAAUACAGGUGCUGCACGGCUGUCGUCAGCUCGUGUCGUGAGAUGUUGGGUUAAGUCCCGCAACGAGCGCAACCCUCGUCCUUAGUUACUAACGGUUCGGCCGAGGACUCUAAGGAGACUGCCUUCGUAAGGAGGAGGAAGGUGAGGACGACGUCAAGUCAUCAUGGCCCUUACGGCUAGGGCAACACACGUGCUACAAUGGUUAGGACAAUGAGAAGCGAUACCGCGAGGUGGAGCAAAUCUAUAAACCUGGUCUCAGUUCGGAUUGUAGUCUGCAACUCGACUACAUGAAGCUGGAAUCACUAGUAAUCGUAGAUCAGCUAUGCUACGGUGAAUACGUUCCCGGGUCU
rnacentral:rRNA from 1 species